rnacentral:lncRNA from 1 species
ACUGCGCCUGCGCCGGACCCGCGGGAGCCCUGGGCCGCCAAGGCGCAUCUGCAGAGCAGGCCCGCAGACCCUCCUGCCUCUGCGGAUGCAGAGCUGCGGGGCGCGUGUAGACUUCUAACGUGCAUUGCAGUAAAAGACACAUUGCCACGAAUCUCCUCCAAAUCGUCCCCUUCACAUGCAGCACACUGAUCCUAUGGGCCUGGCCACUUGCUGAAGUAGUUCUGAAGUCCUCUUUCCUGCGUGUCUUCAGCUGCACCGCCUGGAUGUCGUGAAGCGAUUCAAAGUGUUUACCCAAAGGAUAAGUGGAUUCUUUGUGACAAGGAUGUGUUGCUCUCUGUAGCAGGAAGUUUCCAGAUGUGCUGCCUACAGAAUGGCGAAGGUCAGGAAGUCUCACCUCAGCAUUCACCAGGAGGUCUCUCCAUUCUUCUUCUUGCUGGGAAGCAAGGGAAGGUUAUUGGCAUGCAAGUGACUGUCACCCCUUCUGCAUUCGCUGAGGGCCAGGGAUCCGAAGAUCACAGUGUACACUUAGCAGUUCUUUGCCUGUGGUAUACAAGAGCCUGGAGUCUAUCAGCUGCAUCCACCACACGAUAACAGGCACAGCUCACCUUGAAGGUGCGGAGACCCCCAAGCCUUCCCUUAGCCUGGAUAAGUGAUGGCGAACCUUUGAGAGCUUUCAAUGAUACAAACAGCCUGCUGUGGCAUGAGUGCCACAGGUUUGCCAUCCGUGACCUACAUGCUUCUCACCCAACCUGCUUCUCCACAAG